rnacentral:rRNA from 1 species
AACGAACGCUGGCGGCAGGCUUAACACAUGCAAGUCGAACGGGUGUCGCAAGACAUCAGUGGCAGACGGGUGAGUAACACGUGGGAACCUUCCUAGGGGUACGGAACAACUCAGGGAAACUUGAGCUAAUACCGUAUACGUCCGUAAGGAGAAAGAUUCAUCGCCCCUAGACGGCCCGCGUCGGAUUAGGUAGUUGGUGGGGUAACGGCCUACCAAGCCUACGAUCCGUAGCUGAUCUGA